rnacentral:lncRNA from 1 species
CCGCACUAUUUUGUGUUUGGGAGGUUACAGCUCUGCCUCUAGAUUCCCCAGCUCAGACUUUUGACAUUGCAAGCAGCUAACAAUACUCACAUAUCAUGCUUUAUAAUAGCACUUGUAGGUGCCAUCCUACUGUCCUGUGUGGAACAUUGGAAUUAGUGGCUAGAGUAUCUUAAAAGAGUUCCAUUAGCAAACAAAGUGAGUGUAUAAGUCAGAGUAAUGUCUUGAAACCCCAGUUUACUCUCCAUAUCAUUUACAUAUGACAGGAGAGCAAUGCAGCAACCACCUUAAGAUUACAAAACAAAGGACAAACACAGCACCCUAAUGAAUUGUGUAAUGCCAAAUGCCAGUAUUUCUUAAGAUUUAAGCCUCACUCAAUUUCUUCACAUGUAAUAGAGUGAAGAUUAGUUUGAGGCAAUCAUUGCACAAGCCUAGACAACAUGAUUGGGGUAUAGUUUUGCCAAAGUCCUUCCCUAUUUAUUACAAAAGGUCUUCAUUUGUAUAACAUCUACCUCAAUUUGAAACAAAUUUUUAUGCAUGGAAAGACAGGCCUAAGGGCUGAGGCCAUAGGAAGAUUAUUAUGUCAUGACAAUAGAGCUCUCAUGGAUGGAAUGAGUGUUCUUAUAAGAAAAGGCCAGCUUGCUCUCCUUCUGCUGCAUGAGGAUAUAAGAAAUCAACAAUGUGAAACAUGGAAGAGAGGCUCACAAGAACCCAACUACGUUGGCACCCUGAUCUCAGCCUUCAGCUAA